rnacentral:rRNA from 1 species
UACGUAGGGGGCUAGCGUUGUCCGGAAUCAUUGGGCGUAAAGAGCGUGUGGGCGGCCCGGUAAGUCCGCUGUAAAAGUCAAAGGCUCAACCUUUGAAUGUCAGUGGAUACUGCCGGGCUAGAGUCCGGAAGAGGCGAGUGGAACUCCUGGUGUAGCGGUGGAAUGCGCAGAUAUCAGGAAGAACACCAACGGCGAAGGCAGCUCGCUAGGACGGUACUGACGCUGAGACGCGAAAGCGUGGGGAGCGAACAGG